AGAGUUUGAUCCUGGCUCAGGAUGAACGCUGGCGGCGUGUUUUAGGCAUGCAAGUCGAACGCGUGUAGCAAUACACGAGUGGCAAACGGGUGCGUAACACAUUGGUAACCUACCUCAGACACGGGGACAACUCGCCGAAAGGCGAGCUAAUACCCGAUGGUUCUUCCCGUCGCAGGAUGGGAACGUAAAGGCGCAAGCCGGUCUGAGAGGGGCCUAUGGUCUAUCAGCUAGUUGGUGAGGUAAUGGCUCACCGAGGCAAUGACAGAUAGCGGGCGUGAGAGCGCGACCCGCCUCAGUGGGACUGAGACACUGCCCACACUCCUACGGGAGGCUGCAGUCAAGAAUAUUCCCCAAUGGACGAAAGUCUGAGGGAGCGACGCCGCGUGCAGGAAGAAACCCCUCGGGGCGUAAACUGCUUUUCUCUGGGAAUAACCCUGAAGGUACCAGAGGAAUAAGAGGCUGCUAACUUCGUGCCAGCAGCAGCGGUAAUACGAAGGCCUCAAGCGUUAUCCGGAUUUAUUGGGCGUAAAGAGUUCAACGGUGGUUUGGAACGUUCUCGGUUAAAUUGCAUCGCUCAACGGUGCAACCGCUGGGAAAACGGCCAGACUCGAGCCUGGGAGAGGCAGACGGAAUUGUCGGUGUAGUAGUAAAAUGCGCUAAUAUCGACAAGAACACCAAUAGCGAAAGCAGUCUGCUGGAACAGUGCUGACACUUCACGAACGAAAGCGUGGGGAGCGAUACGGAUUAGAUACCCUGGUAGUCC
rnacentral:rRNA from 1 species